GCGCUCGCUUUGGCAGCACAUAUACUAAAAUUGGAAUGAUACAGAGAAGAUUAACAUGGCCCCUGCACAAGGAUGAUACGCAAAUUCGUGAAGCGUUCCAUAUUUUU
rnacentral:snRNA from 1 species